rnacentral:rRNA from 1 species
UGACACAAGCCGGCGUAAAGAGUGGUUAAUAAUUGAAAAACUAAGGUCGAACAUCUUCAAGGCUGUCAUACGCACCCGAAGACAGGAAGGUCUCCUACGAAAGUGACCUCAACAUUUAUGAAUCCACGAAAGCUAGGGAA